rnacentral:rRNA from 1 species
AGUGAACGCUGGCGGUAGGCCUAACACAUGCAAGUCGAACGGCAGCACAGUAAGAGCUUGCUCUUACGGGUGUCGAGUGGCGGACGGGUCAGGUCUACAUCGGAAUCUACUUUUUCGUUGGGGAUAACGUCGGAAACCUUCCGCUAGUACCACAUACAUCCUACGAGUGUAAGCCCGCGAUCUUCUAGCCUUUUGCUGUUGAAUUAGCCGAGGUAGGCUUCGCUAGUUAGCGGGGUAAAGGCCCACCAAGGCGACGAUCAGUAGCUGGUCUGGGAGGAUGAUCAGCCACACGGGAACGGAGAAACGGCAGAGACACCGAGGGGAGGAAGCAGCGGGGAAUAUUGGGGAAUGGGGGCAAGGCGGAUCCAGCAAAACCGCGUGAACGAAGAACGCCCUAGGGUGGGAAAGCGAUGAUGUUGGGAAAGAAAAGAAGCAGGUUAAGACCGCGAGGUUAUGACGGUACCAAAAGAAUAAGCACCGGCUAACUUCGUG